rnacentral:antisense_RNA from 1 species
CUUGAGCGAGCCGAGCCACAAGGGGCGGUCGCGGUCCUGGCCGUAGGUGGCGAGGAUCGCCUGAGCCUC